rnacentral:rRNA from 1 species
ACAGCAGCAGCCGCGGGAAAACGGAGGGUGCAAGCGUUAUCCGGAUUUAUUGGGUUUAAAGGGUCCGUAGGCGGACUUAUAAGUCAGUGGUGAAAGCCUGUCGCUUAACGAUAGAACUGCCAUUGAUACUGUAAGUCUUGAGUAUAUUUGAGGUAGCUGGAAUAAGUAGUGUAGCGGUGAAAUGCAUAGAUAUUACUUAGAACACCAAUUGCGAAGGCAGGUUACCAAGAUAUAACUGACGCUGAGGGACGAAAGCGUGGGUAGCGAACAGGAUUAGAUACCCGGGUAGUCCCUGUCUCUUAUAC